ACUUUGAUAGCUUAAAAUUAGAGCAUAGCACUGAAGAUGCUAGGGUGGCAAAUUUGUGCCUUAAAGUA
rnacentral:tRNA from 1 species